rnacentral:rRNA from 1 species
ACGCUGGCGGCGUGGAUAAGACAUGCAAGUCGAACGAGAAACUUACUUAGCUUGCUUUGAAAGUUUCUAGUGGCGAACGGGUGAGUAACACGUGAGUUACCUGCCUCGAAGUGGGAGAUAGCCCGGGGAAACUCGGAUUAAUACCCCAUGUGAUCGUAAGAUUAAAGGCGGCUUCGGCUGUCGCUUCGAGAUGGGCUCGCGGCCUAUCAGUUAGUUGGUGAGGUAAAAGCUCACCAAGACGAUGACGGGUAGCUGGUCUGAGAGGACGACCAGUCACACUGGAACUGAGACACGGUCCAGACACCUACGGGUGGCAGCAGUCGAGAAUCAUUCGCAAUGGACGAAAGUCUGACGGUGCGACGCCGCGUGGAGGAUGAAGGCCCUAGGGUCGUAAACUCCUGUCAUCAGGGAGUAAUUACUUAUGUAGUAACUGACAUAGGUCUUGAUAGUACCUGAAGAGGAAGGGACGGCAAACUUCGUGCCAGCAGCCGCGGUAAUACGAAGGUCCCAAGCGUUGUUCGGAUUUACUGGGCGUAAAGCGUCUGUAGGCGGGAUGGUAAGUCAGAUGUGAAAUCCCGGGGCUCAACCCCGGAACUGCAUCCGAUACUGCCAACCUAGAGGGUCGGAGGGGAGUCUGGAAUUCUCGGUGUAGCAGUGAAAUGCGUAGAUAUCGAGAGGAACACUCGUGGCGAAGGCGAGACUCUGGACGACACCUGACGCUGAGAGACGAAGGCCAGGGUAGCGAAAAGGAUUAGAUACCCUUGUAGUCCUGGCAGUAAACGGUGCACGCUUGGUGUGGGAAGGUCGACCCUUUCCGUGCCGGAGCUAACGCGUUAAGCGUG